ensembl:snoRNA SNORA72 Small nucleolar RNA SNORA72
CUGUGACUGUUCCCGCCAUCCUGAUGUGACAAUCAGCGCAGCCUAAGCACUCGCCACGUUAAGACCAUGCACGUGACCCCAGACAGACUUCUCUCCCUGGAUCUGCUUUUAUCAACGCUGGCGAGAAAC